rnacentral:tRNA from 1 species
AGGGUAAUAGCUCAGUGGUAGAGCAUAUGCUUAGCAUGCAUUAGGCCCUGGGUUCAAUCCGCAGUACCUCCA